rnacentral:lncRNA from 1 species
UGUUGUUUACCAACUAGAUCUCACGAAGAGAAAGGCAGACAGCAUUGUACUUAAAGCAGAGGUGGAGGGUGGCCUCAAAGGAAGCGUGGCUCUUACAGUGUCUGGGAAGAGAAAGACCAAGGGAGUCCCCACAGUCUGCUUAGAUGGCAUCUGACCAUGAGCGAUGGGAGGAAAUGACUGCCCACCGUGUGCACUUCACCCUCCCGUCGUCUUCCUCUGCUUUCUCAGGCUGAGGACAACCCAGGUGCCUGUGCCAAGCAUUUGGCCUGGGGAGGAGUGACAGCAACACAAACUUACAGGAACGCUGCCUGCCUGAAGACAGUUUCUCAUCUCUCUUUCUCUCUCUUUGCUUCCUCCCAGGCUCUGGUUGCUUCAGCAGGGUCCACCCCAGGGGUGGGGGGUGGGGGUGGGGACUCUUCUGUCUGUCUUCCCUGGAGAACAGUCUCUCUUGACCUGUCUCCGCAGGUCUCUUUGCUCAGUCUUACUUCUGUCUCCUGCCCUUUCUUCAGAGCUGGGUGAAACUGGUCCUCAGCAGUGUGAAAGUGGAUUCUUCAUGUGCUUUUCAUCUUGCUGAGUCCCGGCAACAUUUUAUCCUCUUCUUGCUGCGAGAUUGAGGAGCAAAUGGGGUCAGGGGC